rfam:Triticum aestivum genome assembly, contig: Triticum_aestivum_CS42_TGACv1_scaffold_436113_5DL
AUUCUACUCCCUCCGUUCGGAAUUACUUGUCUCGAAACUGGAUGUAUCUAGAACUAAAAUACGUCUAGAUACAUCCAUUUCUGCGACAAGUAAUUCCGAACGGAGGGAGUACCCA